rnacentral:rRNA from 1 species
UACGUAGGGUGCAAGCAUUGUCCGGAAUUAUUGGGCGUAAAGAGCUCGUAGGCGUCUGUCACGUCGGAUGUGAAAACUCGGGGCUCAACCCCGAGCCUGCAUUCGAUACGGACAGACUAGAGUGUUGCAGGGGAGACUGGAAUUCCUGGUGUAGCGGUGAAAUGCGCAGAUAUCAGGAGGAACACCGGUGGCGAAGGCGGGUCUCUGGGCAACUACUGACGCUGAGGAGCGAAAGCGUGGGGAGCGAACA